AAGGAAUCUGGGUCGGUGAGGUUGUGGCAGGAGGUGAAGGGCGCCUCAUACAGGAGUUCACAGCUGUGGAGGGAGACAGAACCAUCGUGUUCAACAAUGUGAGCGACCAGGUGAAGGAGUGUUGUCACAGUCAUGUUCUGUAUCGUCACAGGACUCGUGUGGUGUCAGCUGAUCUCACACUGAGUCUCAGGUUGUAUCUUAUGUAUAUUAAUAACUGGGAGCAUAAAGUCAAGUACAAGUACUUUGGUUUAUUCUAGUUUGGUGCAGCACUUGAGUAAAUGUACUUAGUGAUUUAAACGUGAGGCUCACAGACUAACGUGUGAUGCCGAGUGAGACCGGCUGUUCGAGCCCAGUGUGUGUUCAGGUGUGUCUCACCGCUCAGUCACUGUGGUGCAGUUGAUGGUCCCGUCAGCAGGUUCAGGGAACUGCUCUUCACAGCUGGGGGGCAAAGAGCAGAGGGUCAGGACUGUUCUCUGGGCCUGACUCCUUCACAUCAACACACAGGUCUGACAUUCAGGACGAGGUCUCACCUGCUGGAGCUGAACUCAGGAAGCACUUCAUCAGAAGAUCCGCCGGAGGAAUAACAUAAACCUGGGAUGUAGCUAUCAGACUGCACUGGACAGUUUGAGGAGAGAAGGAGUCAGAAGAAGAAAAGUCAGACUGGAUGAACAUUUAUCUGUCAACCAGCGAUUCAACCAGCCGCUGUACGACCACACCUGAAGAUGUAGACAGACCGUCAGAACACUGCGGGUCAAAGGUCAAAGUCGAAAUCCUUCAGAAUAAAAACGAUUUCAUCAGACGUCAGUGAGACGUCAAAGAGCUGCAGACGCCUCAGGGUCAGAGGAGAUCCUCCAUGACAGUCUCCAUGUCCGAUCAGUCUAAGCAUCUUCACCAGUGAGGAACUGAAUACUGAUGAUGGUCUGAUUUCUGUUCACUGGCCCAUAAAGUCAAAUCAGUUCACAUGUGAAUCAACCCGUCCCAACAAACAGCUCAGUGGCGACUCAGGUGUAUGACAGGUGCUCAGCGUCACAUGGGCCCGGCUGGUGUCGUGGAGGAAAAGCUUCUCUGGACUUUGUCUCUACCUGUCUUGUGGAUCUGUGCGGUGGAGCCAUCGAAGAAGACAGAGGUGGUGUAGUUGGAGAGGAGGAACGUGGCGGUGACUCCGGUCUGGUUCUUGGAGACGUCCACACCGUGAAGAGACAGAGGCAAGCUGCCGAGGCUCAGCGGCGCGUCGUCCACCUGCGUCACAGCGGAGGACAACGCUGGUUCAACCACGUUGUUCAACACUUCAGUCCACUGGACACUCAAGACUCACUGAUCCGUCCACCAGCACCAGCUGUCGACCAAACAGCCAACUACUGAGUGAAGUUCAGCCGGUAACUGGAUCAUGGACAUGAGUCUUGAUUUAGCUCGGCUGCAGAAGGUAACAGGGUUCUAUUAGUUUCUUGUUCUGAGCGUUUGAUGAGUGUAAUUCUAACGCUUUAGAAUAACCCACUACAUGUUAGCAGUCAGGCAGACAAACGCAUUAACAUUUGCAACAGUUAACAUCUGUGUAUAUGAAGUAAUAAACCAGAGGAACCAAAUUUGGGCUUUUAUGAAAAAGUUGAAAUGAAGUUUAUCUACAUUUCACCAACACCACCAUCUUUCCUGGACCUGAAGGUCGUCACAGGCCGAAGGAGACGGUCACAGCGAGAGGACAGAGAGCGAGUGAACACACAAGGACAGAUGUUUUCUUCCUCCUACAGAGGAGACCACGACAGUCCAGAUGUUUUGUACGAAGCAGUGGACUGCGUUCGGAGCAGACAGGACGUCAGAGGAGAGGAGGGCGGUGGACCGUGCACUGUCGCCCUCUACAGGCCAGAAAGAGGAGUGCACUCCUUUGCUUUAAUUAAAGGGGCAGUCCACCCAAAACCAAACACAUAACCACCACAUGAUGUUUGUUGUAGACACGUUGAUGAAAACAGAAAGACAAAAGAGGGAUGGUUAAUGCACAGUGAUCCACUGAUGAUCUCCACCAACCAGGAGGACGUCAGCUCCACUCUCUCUGUGGCUGAGGGUGGUUUACCUGAAGCCUCAGGCCUGGUCCCAGGGUGAUGUUGACACCCGGCCCGUCCAAACGCAGGAUCACUUUGUCCAACAGACUGAAGUCUUUACGGCGUCGGUCCCGGAAGACGGCCAGCAGCUCGACGCCCGACUCUGACAACAGAGUGUAAGCACAGCGAUCCGGGACAGAGACGACAUAGUUCAAGAAGUUGACGACAGUGGAGCCGAUCACGGUGCACGUGGGACACCUAACACACAGGGGAGGUGGAGAUGUUUUAUCACCAGCAGCUGAUGACAAAAGUAUUUACCUGGAAAUAUAACUGAGAUAUAUUUACUGGCACAUAAAUCCACAAGGAAAGACAGUGAGGGCUCCUUCUGCACUACAGGUCACACUGGAACCAUCUGGAUUACAGACCAUCUCAUUCACUCCAUAGUAAACACCUGUAAAACAGAGAGGAUUCAGUUGUGAUAUUGAAUCGUAAGAGAAUAAGAUAACAGCAACAUUGGAACAUGAUCAUACUGUGAGGGCCCCUGUGAAGGCUCAGUUCACUCACACCACACAGCAACAUAUGUCCUCAUGUUUGCUCCACCUCACACACUGCAGGUGGGUGGAGUCACUUUGUGGCUUGUCGUUUCACUGGAACUACUUCCUGGAGGAGCGUUUCUGUGGAAACCGUCUCCACUAACAUGAACAUCUGUAACAUCAUCUCACAGAAACUAACUUCACCUCCAGUGUGGUGCGGUGGAGUCGGAGAGCUCAGCGAGACGAAGCUCUGUCCCAGGACGGAUCAAAUCAAACUAUCUGACGGGACAGAGAGGAACUAUGUUUGUUUGUGAUUUGGGUGAACUGACCCUUUAAUAAUCACCAGCUCUGCUCACCUGACUUUAUGCAGGCAAAAGAGAAUUUAUAGGUACUUGAUCUGAUACUGUACGUGUCCACUGAAACACCAUCGACCAUCACGUCGACACUCUGCAGAGGAACGACACAGUUACUGUCUCACACUGACACACAGGAAGACAUCACACUGUCUCCAUGGCAACACAACUGUGAAGAGGCGGAACUUUCACUUCACUGAUCAUCAACUUCUCUCCAGUUGCUGUUUGUCGUACGUGUACUUACCAAAACUCCUUUGGUGUAUAAAAUAAAAAGAAGAGCUGAUUUUGUC